ACGCUGGCGGCGUGCCUAAUACAUGCAAGUAGAACGCUGAAGGAGGAGCUUGCUUCUCCGGAUGAGUUGCGAACGGGUGAGUAACGCGUAGGUAACCUGCCUGGUAGCGGGGGAUAACUAUUGGAAACGAUAGCUAAUACCGCAUAACAGUAGAUGUUGCAUGACAUUUGCUUAAAAGGUGCAAUUGCAUCACUACCAGAUGGACCUGCGUUGUAUUAGCUAGUUGGUGGGGUAACGGCUCACCAAGGCGACGAUACAUAGCCGACCUGAGAGGGUGAUCGGCCACACUGGGACUGAGACACGGCCCAGACUCCUACGGGAGGCAGCAGUAGGGAAUCUUCGGCAAUGGACGGAAGUCUGACCGAGCAACGCCGCGUGAGUGAAGAAGGUUUUCGGAUCGUAAAGCUCUGUUGUAAGAGAAGAACGAGUGUGAGAGUGGAAAGUUCACACUGUGACGGUAUCUUACCAGAAAGGGACGGCUAACUACGUGCCAGCAGCCGCGGUAAUACGUAGGUCCCGAGCGUUGUCCGGAUUUAUUGGGCGUAAAGCGAGCGCAGGCGGUUAGAUAAGUCUGAAGUUAAAGGCUGUGGCUUAACCAUAGUACGCUUUGGAAACUGUUUAACUUGAGUGCAAGAGGGGAGAGUGGAAUUCCAUGUGUAGCGGUGAAAUGCGUAGAUAUAUGGAGGAACACCGGUGGCGAAAGCGGCUCUCUGGCUUGUAACUGACGCUGAGGCUCGAAAGCGGGGGGAGCAAACAGGAUUAGAUACCCUGGUAGUCCACGCCGUAAACGAUGAGUGCUAGGUGUUAGACCCUUUCCGGGGUUUAGUGCCGCAGCUAACGCAUUAAGCACUCCGCCUGGGGAGUACGACCGCAAGGUUGAAACUCAAAGGAAUUGACGGGGGCCCGCACAAGCGG
rnacentral:rRNA from 1 species